UCUGCCUCACAGCGUCUCUCCACGGUCAACAUGGCUCAGAGUUUCCACACCUCUCACUCCUCACUAGCCAUCUCCUUGGCUAUACUUACUUAGGACUUGCUCGACCUGCGAUCUCACCAGGUCUGCGCAGUGGUACCAGACAAUCAGUCUCGAGUGGUUACACAGCUCGCUCGAUGCGUCGCGGGACAUCCACCGCGUGGUGGUUGCUCCUCCUCGUCGCCGCCGCCGCGCUCCUGGUCCUGGUUCUGCCGGUGCUGGCCUCCGAACGUCGCCUGCGCCGUCCUCCUCCAGGUAUUUCUGAUCGGCAGAGCCUGGUUUCAACUUUUUGUCUGACAUAUGAACUGAUCGACCGGUGCGAGGCUGCAUGCAGUGCUGCCGCGAGGUGGUGGCGGCGCCGACGCCGGGCUGCGUGGAGGAAGGGCGCUGGCGGCCGUGGAGCGGGACGCGAGGCGUCUGGGACAGAGGACGCCGGUGAUGAAGCCUCCGUCGCCGAAACCCCACGGCAUGGCGGCGAUGGCCGUGCCGCCGCCACCGUCGCUUACUAGCUAGGAACAAGGUCAGGGGCCGGAGUGCUGAAUACUGAAACUUUUAACCUAUGCGAUGGUGCCUGCGAUCGCCUAGCUAGCUGUGUUCUUCCCGGCAGCUGAUCUCCAGAUCUCUUCGUGGUGUUGGCAUAGACUGUAACUGUAUCAGAGAAGAAACAACCAGCUGCUGUGUUCGAUCAUAAUUUUGCUACUGAUAAACUAUGGAACAGCAUACAGGAAACAUGUGAGGAUACGCACCUCACAUGUGAGUAUGUGACCCUGAUAAAAUUCGAUGGUUUAUUUCCGUUAAUCAUGUUUUCUCUGUUAAUGCAAUGUACACGCGCAGUUGAUUGCCACUAAUUCUCGUUUUUUCACAUAAAUUUUGUGGAAAGUUAAAUUACCCCUGACGUUUAAGGUCUUCAUGUGGAUUGUUUUGAG
rnacentral:lncRNA from 1 species